GUGGACCCGAGGGAGGCCCCAGGCCCGCCAGCCAGGUACUGGGCCAAGGUGACAGGAUCUCAGCAGGGACUUCCUCCCCACACCCGCCCACCACACCUUUGUUUGACGAAGGACACCAGGGCUGUAACUCCUGCUCUGUGACCACCACCGAGCAGGCACUGAGCAUCUACUGUGUGCUUGGCUCUUCCAAGAAGAAUCCCCAAAUGAGCCUGACAGGCCCCCUUGUGUCCCCGUGUGUCACCGUCUGUCCCCGGUGAGCGUUCCUCCCUUGAGUAGGCCCCAUCCCCUCUGUCCCCAGUUUCCUCAUCUGGAGAAUGGGAACACCAGGGGCUGCUCUAAAUCACGAACUGUGGGGCCAGGUGACAGACACACAGCCCAGAAAACGCCACUCGGGGGGGUCGGAUGGCCGGGAGGGACGGACGCGGGUUCACAAGAGUACUGGACGCCGAGGCCCCAGCCUGCAGCCUCCCCUCCACUUCAGGAUAUUACAGGACUCUGUUGAACUGCCCUCUACACAGGGCCGAGAGAGAACCAAUGAGGGGGGGAGGGAAAGGUGCCUGAGGAAUAUAAAGUUGGUAUUUUAUAUUUAGGAGACCAAGAAAACCUGAGCAAAGCCAUGACCAGGACGCUAACUGCAGGGACUGGCGCACUCGGCACCACCCGUCACCAGCUCCUUCCCACGUGCUGGUGAAGCACAACCCAGAGAAGAGAAGAUGCUGUGGAACCCACCCCAUCCCCCACCCCAGCCGCCCUAUCCCCCACCCCAGCCACUCCAUCCCCCAUCCCCCAUCCCAGCCAAAAGACACCUGGGCCCGGGGGACCACUACCACCAAGACGCAGAGACCAGUAGUGGCCCUGAAUGCCAGGCUGUGCUGAUAUUUAUUGGAUACAAGACAAAAGGGCAGGGUAAGGAGUGUGAGUCAUCUCCAAUGACAGGUAAGGUCACGUGGGUCACAUGUCCACUGGCCAGGGGGCCCUUGCCUGCCUGGCAGCCGAGGCAGAGAGAGAGGAGAGAGAGAGAGAGAGACAGCUUACGCCAUUAUUUCUGCUUAUCAGAGACUUUCAGUACUUUCACUAAUUUGCUGCUGUUAUCUAGAAGGCAGAGCCAGGUGCACAGGAUGGAACAUGAAGGCGGACUAGGAGCGUGACCACUGAAGCACAGCAUCACAGGGAGACGGUUAGGCCUCCGGAUAACUGCGGGCGGGCCUGACUGAUGUCAGGUCCUCCACAAGAGGUGGAGGAGUAGAGUCUUCUCUAAACUCCCCCGGGGAAAGGGAGACUCCCUUUCCCAGUCCGCUAAGUAGCAGGUGUUUUUCCGUGACACUGAGGCUACCGCUAGACCACGGUCCGCUUGGCAACGGGCGUCUUCCCAGACGCUGGUGUCACCGCUAGACCAAGGAGCCCUCUGGUGGCCCUGUCUGGGCGUGACAGAAGGCUCACACUUGUCUUCUGGUCACUUCUCACUAUGUCCCCUCAGCUCCUAUCUCUGUAUGGCCUGGUUUUUCCUAGAUUAUGAUUGUAGAGCAAGGAUUAUUAUAAUACGGGAACAAAGAGUAAUUGCUACAAACUAAUGAUGAAUGAUAUUCAUAUAUAAUCAUGUCUAUGACCUAUAUCUAGUAUAACUAUUGUUGUAUUAUAUAUUUUAUUAUACUGGAACAUCUCGUGCCCUUGGUCUCUUGCCUGGGCACCUGGGUGGCUAGCCGCC
rnacentral:lncRNA from 1 species